rnacentral:rRNA from 1 species
AUACGGAGGGUGCGAGCGUUAAUCGGAAUUACUGGGCGUAAAGCGUGCGUAGGCGGUUAUUUAAGUCAGAUGUGAAAGCCCCGGGCUCAACCUGGGAACUGCAUUUGAAACUGGAUGACUAGAGUUUGGUAGAGGUGAGUAGAAUACCUAGUGUAGCGGUGAAAUGCGUAGAUAUUAGGAGGAAUACCAGUGGCGAAGGCGGCUCACUGGACCAAAACUGACGCUGAGGCACGAAAGCGUGGGGAGCGAACGGGAUUAGAUACCCCAGUAGUCC